AGAGGGAUAGCUGGGUCAAAUGGUGGUUCCAUUCCCAGAUUUCCAAGGAAUCUCCAUGCUGCUUUCCAAAUUGGCUGCACCAAUUUGCAGUCCCACCAGCAAU
rnacentral:pre_miRNA from 1 species